UACGUAGGUGACAAGCGUUGUCCGGAUUUACUGGGCGUAAAGAGCGCGCAGGCGGUCGUUCAAGUCGAGUGUGAAAGCCCCCGGCUCAACUGGGGAGGGUCAUUCGAUACUGAUCGACUCGAAGGCAGGAGAGGGUAGUGGAAUUCCCGGUGUAGUGGUGAAAUGCGUAGAUAUCGGGAGGAACACCAGUGGCGAAGGCGACUACCUGGCCUGUUCUUGACGCUGAGGCGCGAAAGCGUGGGGAUCAAACGGGG
rnacentral:rRNA from 1 species